CACGUAGGGCGCAAGCGUUGUCCGGAAUUAUUGGGCGUAAAGAGCUCGUAGGUGGUUUGUUACGUCUGCUGUGAAAUCCUAGGGCUUAACCCUGGGCUUGCAGUGGAUACGGGCAGACUAGAGGUAGGUAGGGGAGAAUGGAAUUCCUGGUGUAGCGGUGAAAUGCGUAGAUAUUGGGAGGAACACCAGUGGCGAAGGCGGCUCACUGGACCGGUACUGACGCUGAGGCGCGAAAGCGUGGGGAGCAAACGGG
rnacentral:rRNA from 1 species